rnacentral:rRNA from 1 species
UUGGAGGGCAAGUCUGGUGCCAGCAGCCGCGGUAAUUCCAGCUCCAAUAGCGUAUAUUAAAGUUGCUGCAGUUAAAGAGCUCGUAGUUGAAUUUCGGGACCAUCAUGUCGGUCGUGCCUCGGUACGUACUGGUAUUGUUGGUUUCUCCCUUCUGACGAACCAUGAUGUCAUUUAUUUGGUGUUGUGGGAAAUCAGGACUGUUACUUUGAAAAAAUUAGAGUGUUUAAAGCAGGCUCACGCUUGAAUACAUUAGCAUGGAAUAAUGAAAUAGGACGUUUGAUUCUAUUUUGUUGGUUUCUAGGAUCGACGUAAUGAUUAAUAGGGAUAGUUGGGGGCAUUAGUAUUCAAUUGUCAGAGGUGAAAUUCUUGGAUUUAUUGAAGACUAACUACUGCGAAAGCAUUUGCCAAGGAUGUUUUCAUUAAUCAAGAACGAAAGUUAGGGGAUCGAAGACGAUCAGAUACCGUCGUAGUCUUAACCAUAAACUAUGCCGACUAGGGAUCGGAUGAUGUUAAUUUUUUAAUGACUCAUUCGGCGCCUUACGGGAAAC